GCAGGGGUUCAGAUAAAAAAUCGGCAGCUGGCAGCAGGAAGUGGCUGCCAUUGACAGCCGGAAGGCAGUAACUGGCAGCCGGAUGGUAGGCGGGACCUGCCGAUCGGUGGGAGCCAAUCAGUAUCGACCAACGUGGGCGCAACCAAUCAGAUAUAACUGCACCCAAACGCUUCAGUAAUGGUUGCGAUUGAUCAAACGUUGCCAGAUGCUGUCCUGUUGGAAAUUCUUCUUUACGUGAUCCUGGAGGAGGGGUGAUGCUACAUUACUAAGUCCGUCUUUGGUUUGUUCCAAAUUCAGAAGUCUGCUGUACUGUAUACAGACUCCUUUCGAAAGAGGGCACAAUCCAGCUGGCUUGACUGAGUGGAACAAAAUGGAGAACAAGUCUAAGCCAUGUCAGGAAUUCAACAAAAUGUACACCCUGCAGACACUGCGACGAGGUUUACAUCAACUGCUUACCAGGUCACUGCAGUCACGCGGAUCGAGUACGUAUCCAGACCAGAUGGUGGAUCGCACCUAGAAAGGACCUCUACAGCCCUGAAAGACAGCGGAGACCAGGACAACUAGAGCCCCAGAUACAGAUCCCCUGUAAAGACCUUGUUUUUACUCCAUUUUGUCACCGGUGGAGUUUUGGUUCCUUGUCGCCUCUGGCUUGCUUUGUUGUGGUCACUUCAUUUACAGCGAUCUCAUUGACAUGAUUGCAAAUGAUUCCACAGAUACUAUUUAAACUGAACCGAGCUGAAGGAUGACUUCACUGAAUUCAAUGAUAAACUGCCUUUUAAAUUGACUACAAACUGAGUUUACUAAUGUCCUUCUGCAUUAUUGACUGACACACUAUUUUCCUAUUUAAUACUGUAAAGUUGCUUUGAUUUGAUCUGUAUUAUUAAAAGCACUAUAUAAAUAAACAAUGCUUGACUUGACCAUGUUGCAAGAGGAAAAUUAGGAGAGAUGCACAUCCACCCUGGGUUGUACAGUGAUUGGUGCAAGAUGCUGGAGAAGUAACUCCAUCAGAACUCCUCAGUUCUGAUCUAAGAGUCUUGAAAAUCCCUCCGGAUUGUUGUUAGUGAUUCUGAUUGAUAUUUUAGUCUGCUUGCUUACUGGAUAUAUUUUAUACUGUUUACAUUGUAAAGCACUGACUUUGACAACUUACUAUCCCAGUUACAAAUUUAAAAGCUACUUUAUACUAGAUAUAUAUAUAUAUAUAUAUAUAUAUAUAUAUAGUUGUUUCUUGAAAUACUACAAAUAUAACCGCGAAUUAUGAUUUUAAAUAAAGGUCUCUGAGACUUCUCUCUUUUCAGUCAUUUGUGUAUAUAGCCUAUAAUAAAUAUACAACAUACACCCA